rnacentral:rRNA from 1 species
GACGAGCGCUGGCGGCGUGCCUAAUACAUGCAAGUUGAGCGCUGAAGGUUGGUACUUGUACCAACUGGAUGAGCAGCGAACGGGUGAGUAACGCGUGGGGAAUCUGCCUUUGAGCGGGGGACAACAUUUGGAAACGAAUGCUAAUACCGCAUAAAAACUUUAAACACAAGUUUUAAGUUUGAAAGAUGCAAUUGCAUCACUCAAAGAUGAUCCCGCGUUGUAUUGGCUAGUUGGUGAGGUAAAGGCUCACCAAGGCGAUGAUACAUAGCCGACCUGAGAGGGUGAUCGGCCACAUUGGGACUGAGACACGGCCCAAACUCCUACGGGAGGCAGCAGUAGGGAAUCUUCGGCAAUGGACGAAAGUCUGACCGAGCAACGCCGCGUGAGUGAAGAAGGUUUUCGGAUCGUAAAACUCUGUUGGUAGAGAAGAACGUUGGUGAGAGUGGAAAGCUCAUCAAGUGACGGUAACUACCCAGAAAGGGACGGCUAACUACGUG